GCAAAAAUAGGGGGGUUUCACUCUUGGAAAUGGUGUCAGAAGAAAAUAAGGGCGCAGGGCCCAUAACUGAGCCCAUUAGCCAAUGCCUAGAACAGUCGGGGGGUGCGUGGUAAAACGUGGGGUGUAACACUGAAAAAAUGGGCCUAUGGGAGCAAGCUUGGCUCAGAGCACACAAUGGAAGAGGGAAGCUAAUUCAGCUAUUCAAAAGAGAUGAAGAAAAAUGCACACCGUGACUUCCCAACAUAUUCACCGGAGAAGAUGAAGCUGAUGACGACGAGAUUCUUAGGAUGUGCAAAAGUGAUGGAACGAUGGAACAAUGCAAAGAUGACUUGUACUUGAAAACACAAUGGGAAGAUUUGGACCAUGGCAAUAUCAAGUGGAACAUUCAAGUGAAAAUGGACAUUAGGUUUUAGGAUGGUCAAAGUUGGUUAGUUGACUUUGGUCAACUGGUUGACCAAAAAGUCAACUUAAAUAGAAAAAUGUAUUUUUGUGUAAUGACUCUUGUAUAGACAUUUGCAACGUAUGAUUGCAUGAAUGUAAUGACACUUUGUGAUGUAAUGGAUUGAUAUUGAAAUAGCAAUCAUGUUGUAUGCAAUUGGACUUGGAAA